GGGGAAUAUUGCACAAUGGGCGCAAGCCUGAUGCAGCAACGCCGCGUGCGGGAAGAAGGCCUUAGGGUUGUAAACCGCUUUCAGCAGGGAAGAAACUGACGGUACCUGCAGAAGAAGGAGCGGCCAACUACGUGCCAGCAGCCGCGGUGACACGUAGGCUCCAAGCGUUGUCCGGAUUUAUUGGGCGUAAAGAGCUCGUAGGCGGUUUAGUAAGUCGGGUGUGAAAACUCUGGGCUUAACCCAGAGACGCCACCCGAUACUGCUAUGACUUGAGUACGGUAGGGGAGUGGGGAAUUCCUGGUGUAGCGGUGAAAUGCGCAGAUAUCAGGAGGAACACCAGUGGCGAAGGCGCCACUCUGGGCCGAAACUGACGCUGAGGAGCGAAAGCGUGGGUAGCAAAC
rnacentral:rRNA from 1 species